rnacentral:misc_RNA from 1 species
UACGGAGGGUGCAAGCGUUAUCCGGAAUCACUGGGUUUAAAGGGUGCGUAGGCGGCUAAGUAAGUCAGAGGUGAAAGGUUGCGGCUUAACUGUGAGAGGGCCUUUGAUACUGUUUAGCUUGAAUCAGAUAGAGGUUAGUGGAAUGAGACAUGUAGCGGUGAAAUGCAUAGAUAUGUCGUGGAACACCGAUUGCGAAGGCAUCUAACUGGGUCUGUUAUUGACGCUGAGGCACGAAAGCGUGGGGAGCAACCAGG